rnacentral:miRNA from 1 species
AAUCGGUACAACAGUCUGUUUCAUCAGUAAAGAAUCAUCAGGCGGUAUACCGCCUGAUGAUUCUUUACUGAUGAAACAGACUGUUGU